rnacentral:rRNA from 1 species
UACAGGGGGUGCAAACGUUGCUCGGAAUCAUUGGGCGUAAAGCGCACGUAGGCGGUUCGUUAUGUCGGAUGUGAAAGCCCUUGGCUUAACCGAGGAAGUGCAUCCGAAACUGGCGAGCUAGAGUACGAAAGAGGAUCGCGGAAAUUCCCGGUGUAGAGGUGAAAUUCGUAGAUAUCGGGAGGAACACCGGUGGCGAAGGCGGCGAUCUGGGUCGAUACUGACGCUGAGGUGCGAAAGCGUGGGGAGCAAACAGG